rnacentral:rRNA from 1 species
UCCGAAUGUUGACCUCGAAUCAGGUAGGAAUACCCGCUGAACUUAAGCAUA